UGGAGAAUUUUUUGCAAUGAGCGAAAGCUUGACAAAGCCAUACCGCGUGAAGGAUGAAGGUUUAUUAAAUUGUAAACUUCUUUUGUCGGGGAAGAAAUAAUGACGGUACCCGAAGAAUAAGCAUCGGCUAAUUCUGUGCCAGCAGCCGCGGUAAGACAGGAGAUGCAAGCGUUAUCUGGAUUUAUUGGGCGUAAAGGGUUUGUAGACUGUUUAAUAAGUUUUUUGUUAAAUGCUAGAGCUUAACUUUAGUUUUACAUUAAAUACUAUUUUACUUGAGUUUAAUAGGGGUAAAGGGAAUUUUCAGUGUAGUAGUGAAAUGCGUUGAUAUUGAAAAGAACACCGAUGGCGAAAGCACUUUACUAGGUUUAAACUGACGUUGAGAAACGAAAGCUAAGGGAGC
rnacentral:rRNA from 1 species